GCAGUCGAGCGAAUGGAUUAAGAGCUUGCUCUUAUGAAGUUAGCGGCGGACGGGUGAGUAACACGUGGGUAACCUGCCCAUAAGACUGGGAUAACUCCGGGAAACCGGGGCUAAUACCGGAUAACAUUUUGAACCGCAUGGUUCGAAAUUGAAAGGCGGCUUCGGCUGUCACUUAUGGAUGGACCCGCGUCGCAUUAGCUAGUUGGUGAGGUAACGGCUCACCAAGGCAACGAUGCGUAGCCGACCUGAGAGGGUGAUCGGCCACACUGGGACUGAGACACGGCCCAGACUCAUACGGGAGGCAGCAGUAGGGAAUCUUCCGCAAUGGACGAAAGUCUGACGGAGCAACGCCGCGUGAGUGAUGAAGGCUUUCGGGUCGUAAAACUCUGUUGUUAGGGAAGAACAAGUGCUAGUUGAAUAAGCUGGCACCUUGACGGUACCUAACCAGAAAGCCACGGCUAACUACGUGCCAGCAGCCGCGGUAAUACGUAGGUGGCAAGCGUUAUCCGGAAUUAUUGGGCGUAAAGCGCGCGCAGGUGGUUUCUUAAGUCUGAUGUGAAAGCCCACGGCUCAACCGUGGAGGGUCAUUGGAAACUGGGAGACUUGAGUGCAGAAGAGGAAAGUGGAAUUCCAUGUGUAGCGGUGAAAUGCGUAGAGAUAUGGAGGAACACCAGUGGCGAAGGCGACUUUCUGGUCUGUAACUGACACUGAGGCGCGAAAGCGUGGGGAGCAAACAGGAUUAGAUACCCUGGUAGUCCACGCCGUAAACGAUGAGUGCUAAGUGUUAGAGGGUUUCCGCCCUUUAGUGCUGAAGUUAACGCAUUAAGCACUCCGCCUGGGGAGUACGGCCGCAAGGCUGAA
rnacentral:rRNA from 1 species